rnacentral:lncRNA from 1 species
AUUUUAAAACCUUUUUAUUUACAGCACCAUCGAACAUCUUUUGCUUUUAAAGGUAUGCACCUGUGCAUAUAUCCCUGGGGGACUUCACAUGCAAUUAGCAAUGAGUUAUUGAAACUUUAUAUCUUAGAGUUUUAAUAAUUCCCCCAAAUGUGACAAUUAUACUUCAGCAAAAUCGCCUGUGAGGACAGAAGGAAGACUUCAAGCAACAAAACUCCACAAUACUGUAACAUAAUUUCAGAUCUCUAGGAAGGAGUCAUUCUCCCUUGAAAAUCAACAUUCUUUCCGGAUUAUUCCCAUCAGAAUUCAGAGCAGGUUCAGUGUCUUGGCUUCGUACCAAAAGGAGACCACUGAUCCACCUAGCAAUAUGCAAGAAAGUUCCAUGUAAACAAAAAAAGUCCAGAAAGAAAUACCUGAAAAAUUCCAUUAAAAAAUGACACAUCUUCAUUAGGUAAAUUCCAGAUUCCUAAGAACAUUCAGAUGACAGUGAAGACUAGAGGCUGAUGCGAGUUUCAUUUGAGCAGCCAGUUUCCAGAUUCAACAACUUCAUUUCUAUUU